rnacentral:rRNA from 1 species
AUACGUAGGUGGCAAGCGUUGUCCGGAUUUAUUGGGCGUAAAGCGAGCGCAGGCGGUUUCUUAAGUCUGGGGUGAAAGCCCCCGGCUCAACCGGGGAGGGUCAUUGGAAACUGGGAGACUUGAGUGCAGAAGAGGAGAGUGGAAUUCCAUGUGUAGCGGUGAAAUGGGUAGAUAUAUGGAGGAACACCAGUGGCGAAGGCGACUCUCUGGUCUGUAACUGACGCUGAGGCUCGAAAGCGUGGGGAGCAAACAGGAUUAGAUACCCUGGUAGUCCACGCCGUAAACGAUGAGUGCUAAGUGUUGGAGGGUUUCCGCCCUUCAGUGCUGCAGCUAACGCAUUAAGCACUCCGCCUGGGGAGUACGACCGCAAGGUUGAAACUCAAAGGAAUUGACGGGG